rnacentral:rRNA from 1 species
AGGGUUUGAUCAUGGCUCAGAAACGUACGCUGGCGGCACGCCUAAUACAUGCAAGUCGAACGAAGUAGCAAUACUUAGUGGCAGACGGGUGAGUAACAUGUAGGUAUCUUCCCUUUGGUGAGGAAUAACACGAGGAAACUUGUGCUAAUACCUCAUAAGUCUUUACGGAGAAAGCUUUAUGCGCCAUUGGAUGAGCCUGCACUUGAUUAGUUUGUUGGUAGGGUAAUGGCCUACCAAGACAAUGAUCAAUAGCUGAUUUGAGAGGAUGAUCAGCCACAUUGGGACUGAGACACGGCCCAAACUCCUACGGGAGGCAGCAGUAGGGAAUCUUGCACAAUGGGGGAAACCCUGAUGCAGCGAUGCCGCGUGAGUGAAGAAGGCCCUUGGGUUGUAAAGCUCUUUCGUCGGGGAAGAAAAUGACUGUACCCGAAUAAGAAGGUCCGGCUAACUUCGUGCCAGCAGCCGCGGUAAUACGAAGGGACCUAGCGUAGUUCGGAAUUACUGGGCUUAAAGAGUUCGUAGGUGGUUAAAAAAGUUGGUGGUGAAAUCCCAGAGCUUAACUCUGGAACUGCCAUCAAAACUUUUUAGCUAGAGUAUGAUAGAGGAAAGCAGAAUUUCUAGUGUAGAGGUGAAAUUCGUAGAUAUUAGAAAGAAUACCAAUUGCGAAGGCAGCUUUCUGGAUCAUUACUGACACUGAGGAACGAAAGCAUGGGUAGCGAAGAGGAUUAGAUACCCUCGUAGUCCAUGCCGUAAACGAUGUGUGUUAGACGUUGGAAAUUUAUUUUCAGUGUCGCAGCGAAAGCAAUAAACACACCGCCUGGGGAGUACGACCGCAAGGUUAAAACUCAAAUGAAUUGACGGGGACCCGCACAAGUAGUGGAGCAUGUGGUUUAAUUCGAAGAUACGCGCAGAACCUUACCAACACUUGACAUGUUCGUCGCGACUUUAAGAGAUUAAAGUUUUCGGUUCGGCCGGACGAAACACAGGUGCUGCAUGGCUGUCGUCAGCUCGUGUCGUGAGAUGUUGGGUUAAGUCCCGCAACGAGCGCAACCCUCACUUUUAGUUGCCAUCAUUUAGUUGGGCACUCUGAAAGAACUGCCAGUGAUAAGCUGGAGGAAGGUGGGGAUGACGUCAAGUCCUCAUGGCCCUUACGUGUUGGGCUACACACGUGCUACAAUGGCAUUUACAAUAGGAAGCAAGACGGCGACGUUUAGCAAAUCCUAAAAAAAUGCCUCAGUUCGGAUUGUACUCUGCAACUCGAGUACAUGAAGCUGGAAUUACUAGUAAUCGCGGAUCAGCGCGCCGCGGUGAAUACGUUCCCGGGUCUUGUACACACCGCCCGUCACACCAUGGGAGUUGGUUCUACCUUAAG